CCUCUUCCUCUUCCUCUUCCUCCUCUGCUGCUUCUUUUUCUUCCUCCUCUAAAGGUUUGUCAAGAUCUUCUUCAUCUUCAUCAACCUGAAGGUCGAUGAGGUCGUCCUUAUCAAGGUCUUCAUCUUUA
rnacentral:miRNA from 1 species